rnacentral:rRNA from 1 species
UACGUAGGGUGCGAGCGUUGUCCGGAAUUACUGGGCGUAAAGAGCUCGUAGGUGGUUUGUCGCGUUGUUCGUGAAAUCUCACGGCUUAACUGUGAGCGUGCGGGCGAUACGGGCAGACUGGAGUACUGCAGGGGAGACUGGAAUUCCCGGUGUAGCGGUGAAAUGCGCAGAUAUCGGGAGGAACACCGGUGGCGAAGGCGGUUCUCUGGGCCUUACCUGACGCUGAGGAGCGAAAGCGUGGGGAGCGAACAG